rnacentral:lncRNA from 1 species
AGAUAAUAAAAGGCAUUGUUUUGUUUCAGGUGGGUCUUAUUCAAUAAAAUCCCCAUGUUUAACAAAAGCAGCAAUCAUGGAUAGAAACAUACAAAGAGCAGUGAACAGAAGAAGGUUAUGUCUUAUAAUAAACAAACAGGAAAAGCAGAAAUACAGAAAGCUUAUUGGAUGGCAGAAGUAGGAAGUGUUUUACUUAUUACUUGGUCCACCAGUGAAGGAAGUCCUUACGCCUGUUGAUCUUCUUCUGCAGCUGAAGAAGGCCGUACAAGAGGGCCUCGGCUGUGGGGGGGCAGCCAGGGACAUAGAUGUCGACGGGGACAAUCCUAUCGCAGCCACGCACAACAGAGUAAGAGUAGUGAUAGUAUCCCCCUCCAUUUGCACAGCUUCCCAUCGAUAUCACCCACCGUG